AUACCUUUCUUGGCCUUUUGGCUAAGAUCGAGUAUAGUAUCUAUUCUUAUCAGUUUAAUAUCUAAUACGUGGGCCAAUGGCCCACGUGAUAUUAAAUUUAUUUUUUGAGGGGGAGGGUCCACCACAAUAGCUUACUAUUGGGCUUCUUGCAUGUUGCCUUGGUGUUGCACUAUAUAGCUUGGCCUGGCACACCCCCA